CUUAAGAACUGCAAUUUGAAUGGCUGCAAACAGCAGCCUCCUUGGUAGUGUAUGCAACCUGUUGCCUGUACAGGUAGCCCUAAGGGACCUUGGAGACAACU
ensembl:snoRNA SNORA70 Small nucleolar RNA SNORA70